CGGAGCUGGACCUGGACUAGAUCCAAACCCAACAUACUUACCACCUUGUGAAGGAGGAAGUCCCUCAGGCUUAGACUCAUUCUCAGCCAUCCUUUUCGCAAAGAAACUCUCCUUAUUCGCCGCCGACGCCUCCAGCUGAGACCGUGAAUAUAUAUCCUCAGACGAUUUCGACUUCGCCGGAGCACCACGACCUCCCGAUGACCUAAAAUCACCCGCCGAUUGAUUCCUCCUCAUAUCCGUAGAUCUAAACGAAUCAUCGUUAUCCCAAUUAUCCCAUCCACCAUUACCAGAAUCUCUACCACCGCCUUGAGACAACGGAGGCUUCUUAUUCAUCAAUCCACCACCAACCGAUUCCUUAACAAUCGGCGGAUCUCUCCAUUGUCUUCCCUCAGCUAAAGCUUGGAUCCGAUCUCGAUACACAGACGCGGCGUUGGAAUUGUACUUGGAGAUGAUAUCAGUCUCUUUCGAGAUCCCGUACUGAGCGAGAAAAUUGUUGAGACGCUCGUUGCCUCCAGCGUCCAUUUUCUUGAUCUGGAUCUCGGACCAUGAAUCCAUGGUGACGGAUCUGACGAAUGAGAUGUGAACACCUAAACCACGGUGCUUACCGGAGCAUUCCAAGCACAUGAAGAUUCCAUAUGAAAUCGAUGCCCAUUGUGGAUUCUUCUGGGAGCAAUCGACACAGACCUUGUUCUCCGGCUGAGAUUGGAGCGUCCGUAAUCGUCUCGCCGCUGCCAUUAUAUUGCCGGCUCUCCGAUCUGACCCCUGACUAGAUCUGAUCCAGGUUCCAGAUUCUGAUGCGUUUUUUUUGGCUCAAUCGUUUUGCUUAAUAAACGUGGUAACUUGAAUAAUUUUGUGCGUGUUUUUGUCACGUGAGAGCUUCACUCAAUAUUUCCAAGGUCUCUGCUAAAAACGUGUUUGCUCAAAAAGCAUGGGCUUUGGUCGCUUCGAUAUCGGGCCGGGUCUGGAAGGAACAACCAAAAAAACUAAAACUACUCUCGUUUUCUUCUUCCGCUCAACCCUAACUUGUGGAAGUCAGUUUAAAGUCCAGGUGAGCAUUAAGACACCAAAUGUCCUUGCUGUGAAUAUGAACGGGAGAACAACUGAUGGGGGUCUGAAGAAGGAAUUAACUGAAGUGAUGAAGCAGGGACAGAUUCUGAGUGUCAAGAUAAAAAAAGAUUGGUACUGGAAUUGUCCAACAGGUGAACCUAAUGUAGAGUCUUAUUAACAUAACUAAAGGCCAAAAAGCGGCAGAACACUUCAUGAAGCAUGGACUUGAGGAAUUGUUCAGCUUCACAUUAUUCCGGUCCACGUGUCUGGUACGGUAGAGUAGCCAAAUCCCAGCAAAGUCACAGUUACCAGAAUUUACUCUUUCAUUCUGAAUUGUUGUAUCUUUUUCUUUCUUUUCUUUUGAACUCAAAUCCUUGUUAUCUCCCUGUUGACUAUCUUUUUAGAACAAUAAUGCUCAUUA